UUGUUUCGCCCCUCUGCCGCUCUCGGGCCCUCACCAGGCGCCGGCGACACCUCUGAGCCAGGCACUAUGGCGGACGCGGCCUGGCUUCGGGCGAGCGCCCCACUCCGGGGUCUCUUAAGCAGGGAUUGCACGGGCGGCGCGCGCGGGGCGGGGCUGGCGUGCGCCGAUAGGCGGGACGAGGGGCGAGGCCUGGGCGUCACAAAGCGCACCGGCCCGCCCACGUGACCCCGCGCUUUGUGACUCCCGAGCGCGGAACCUGAACGAGCCGGGUGAACGGAAGAAACCAUCUGCCUCAAAGGGCGGGGUGACAGGCCGCAAAGAGGACCGGCUCACAGCGCGGUUCCGGAGGGGAGCUCAGGUUUCCGCUGGAGGAAAACCGAGGCCCAGAGAAGGAAGCCCGAGGUCACAUCCCUCAGAGGUGAGGCCAAGGUCACAGUUAGGAGUGAUAGAGCCAGGUUUAAACCCAGUGGGUGCACCGAGUCUCUCUGUUGGGGGUUCCUCACUGUGUCUAUCCCCUGUGCCUGUCUUGGUGUCUACCCAGGUUUCAAUUUGCUGCUGAUGACAAAGGCAUCAUUCAUCUCAUGGAUGCUUAUUGAGUGACAGCGUGUUCUUAGCAUUGUUCUAGGCCUGUGGGAAAAGGCUGUGAACGUGACGGGCAAGGCUUUUGCUAUCCUAGAGUUUCUGUUCUAGUCGAGGAAUGUCACAAUAAGCAACUAGACAAGUAGAGAGAAGAUAACUGUAGAAUGUGAUAAGUGCUAUGAAGAAAAUUAAAGCAAGUUAGGGAGAUGGAGAGUGAUGGGAGUGGUGGCUGAGGGUGAUUUAACACUGGAUGGUCAGGAGAGGUCUCUGUGAGAAGGUGACAUUUGAGUGUGAGGUUCUAAGAAGAUUCCAGGUGGGAUGAAUGCCUUGUGCAAGAGUCCUAAGGUGUAAUCAAGGGAUAGUCAAAAGGCUGGGAUGGCUGAGGCACGGAUAAUGAUGGGCAGUGUCUGAGCUUAGGCCACAAGCAUUGCAGGGGCCCAAUCACAAAGGACCACAAAAGCCAUUUAAACAAAUUUUGAUCUAGAGAGGAAUGUUCUAAAAGAGUAUGAGAACUCAGGCAGGACCCUCUUGUGUUAACAUUCAGAGCAAUUUGAGUAUGACUGAUACCACAGCUGAGCUAUAAUUAUCCUCAGAAGCCUCUGGGAGGUUCCAGGAACUUGAAGGGGCCCGGGAUAGCAUGGAGCUAUCAGGUGUGGCUGUUUAAGGCAGAGUUUGGGUGGCACAUACACCAUGGCUCAUAGCAUCAUUCCCAGUGGUCACGCGACCAGGGUUACAGUGCAGAUAGGUGGAGAAGGAUGAUCCAAAGGAGAGCCGUUUCUUCCGGUAGCUCCUGGAGCCUGUUCCACCUGUUGUGCAAGCUGGUGACACAGAUCCGGCAGGAAUGAGUCAAAGGUAACCCUAAUCAUCUAGGUCUGUGAUUUGGUAGAGGAAGGGGCUGGUGGGACAGAUCCUCCCCAGUGAGGCUGGGAGAGGGAGACUGGGAAGAGAAAGGGAUGCCCAUGUUUGAGCCCUGACUCUGUGACUAGGCACAGCCCUGGCUUCCAAAACAGAGCCUGAAGGGUCUGAUUCAGCAGGACUUGCCAGGAUGUGCAGGUGUUUCUGAUGAACAGCUAGGAUAAAGAGCCUCCACAUUCCUGGUUGCACGUGGUUAAGUGCACAGAUGCAGGCAGCGCAUAGUCUUGGUGGAAAUCCCAGCUCUGCCACAUACUACGUGAGGGGCACUGGAUAAGCCAGGUAAACUCACUGUGCCCCGGUUUUCAUCACUGUCCAAUGCAGCUGAUAAUAAUAGUACCUCAGUCACAGGUUAUUGGAAAAACUAAAGCACUGGAGAGCAAUACCUGCAUAGAAUAAGUGCCAUGUAAACAUUGUUGCAUUAUUGCAUUGACCAUCAGGUUCACCCUGUAAGGAAAACAUCAUCAUUAUUCAGAUUUAUAAAUGAGAACUGAAGUUAAGUGACCUUUCCAAGGUCACACUGAAAGUAUUUCAUUUGCCAAAAUAAAAAGAUCCCUCUCAAAAAAUCCUCCACAUCAAAAAUACAACACCCACACUCAUAAUCGCUAUCCAAUUACCUAC
ensembl:lincRNA